AGCGAACGCUGGCGGCAGGCUUAACACAUGCAAGUCGAGCGGGCAUCCUUGUGGUGUCAGCGGCAGACGGGUGAGUAACGCGUGGGAACGUGCCCUUCGGUUCGGAAUAACUCAGGGAAACUUGAGCUAAUACCGGAUACGUGCGAGAGCAGAAAGGUUUAUCUGCCGAAGGAUCGGCCCGCGUCUGAUUAGCUAGUUGGUGAGGUUACGGCUCACCAAGGCGACGAUCAGUAGCUGGUCUGAGAGGAUGAUCAGCCACACUGGGACUGAGACACGGCCCAGACUCCUACGGGAGGCAGCAGUGGGGAAUAUUGGACAAUGGGGGCAACCCUGAUCCAGCCCUGCCGCGUGAGUGAUGACGGCAUUAGGGUUGUAAAGCUCUUUUCUCCGGGACGAUAAUGACGGUACCGGAGGAAUAAGCCCCGGCUAACUUCGUG
rnacentral:rRNA from 1 species